rnacentral:rRNA from 1 species
AGAACGAACGCUGGCGGCAUGCCUAAUACAUGCAAGUCGAACGAACUCUUCGGAGUUAGUGGCGCACGGGUGCGUAACGCGUGGGAAUCUGCCCCUUGGUUCGGAAUAACAGUUGGAAACGACUGCUAAUACCGGAUGAUGACGAAAGUCCAAAGAUUUAUCGCCAAGGGAUGAGCCCGCGUAGGAUUAGUACUA